AUUGAACGCUGGCGGCAGGCCUAACACAUGCAAGUCGAACGGUAACAGGAAGCAGCUUGCUGCUUUGCUGACGAGUGGCGGACGGGUGACUAAUGUCUGGGAAACUGCCCGAUGGAGGGGGAUAACUACUGGAAACGGUAGCUAAUACCGCAUAACGUCGCAAGACCAAAGAGGGGGACCUUAGGGCCUCUUGCCAUCGGAUGUGCCCAGAUGGGAUUAGCUAGUAGGUGGGGUAACGGCUCACCUAGGCGACGAUCCCUAGCUGGUCUGAGAGGAUGACCAGCCACACUGGAACUGAGACACGGUCCAGACUCCUACGGGAGGCAGCAGUGGGGAAUAUUGCACAAUGGGCGCAAGCCUGAUGCAGCCAUGCCGCGUGUAUGAAGAAGGCCUUCGGGUUGUAAAGUACUUUCAGCGGGGAGGAAGGGAGUAAAGUUAAUACCUUUGCUCAUUGACGUUACCCGCAGAAGAAGCACCGGCUAACUCCGUG
rnacentral:rRNA from 1 species